rnacentral:tRNA from 1 species
GCUCUAAUAGCUUAAUGAAAGCAAUGAGCUUUUAACUCGUAGAUACAGCGUAGGCUGAGUAGGGCG